GAUGAAGAACGCAGCGAAAUGCGAUAAGUAAUGUGAAUUGCAGAAUUCAGUGAAUCAUCGAAUCUUUGAACGCACAUUGCGCCCCUUGGUAUUCCGAGGGGCAUGCCUGUUCGAGCGUCAUUAUAACCCCUCAAGCUCAGCUUGGUGUUGGGGCCUGCCGCACGGGCAGCCCUUAAAAUCAGUGGCGGUGCCAUCUGGCUCUAAGCGUAGUAAUUCUUCUCGCUAUAGAGUCCCGGUGGAUACUUGCCAUUAACCCCCAAUUUUCUAUGGUUGACCUCGGAUCAGGUAGGGAUACCCGCUGAACUUAAGCAUAUCAAUAAGCGGAGGA
rnacentral:misc_RNA from 1 species